rfam:Morus notabilis contig1454, whole genome shotgun sequence.
CCUCUUGAUCAUGAAGACUUAAAAGAGAAAAUCCUUGCCGGUCCGGAUGAUGACUAUAAAGCCAUCAUUGACAUCGUUGAAGGCCGUGACACGCCUAUUUCUUUCGAUGAACUUCAUGAGAAACUGAUUACUCGUGAGU